ACAAAACAGAAAAAAAGCAUCGGGCUCGUUGGCAGAGCACCGACCAAGGGCAAAACAAAACAAAAACACAGCCGAGGGGGUUGCUGCUGUUUCAGACAAGCAAAAAAAAGAAUGCCGGAUCGACGUCGAGCGACCAGGUCGCGAGGCCGAGGGAUCCAGGCGACUCGCGGGAGGGUUUUUCAACUCUCCUGCGCCUUGGGCCGUCGAAGCACCCAAAUUUUUGGUUGGGGGCUCCGUCGCCUUAAGUAAUGACGAGCUCGACCGCGACUCCGGGCUUACUUGGAACGGUGGGUCGCAAAAACAAAACAAAAGCACUCGGCAUCGUCGGGAGGUUGGCCUCGACGUUAUAAGCACCCGAGUAUGUACUUUCUCACGUAUACCGAUAGUUUGUUUCUUGAAAAAACAAAACCCGGGUGCGGAGAACCUGGGGGUCGGCCGGCGUACCUCGUUGCGCGCCGCGACCGACCGAAUUGGCAUCUAUUACUAUUAUUUUGA
rnacentral:misc_RNA from 1 species